rnacentral:rRNA from 1 species
AUUGAACGCUGGCGGCAGGCCUAACACAUGCAAGUCGAACGAGUGGCGGACGGGUGAGUAAUGUCUGGGAAACUGCCUGAUGGAGGGGGAUAACUACUGGAAACGGUAGCUAAUACCGCAUACCAUCGGAUGUGCCCAGAUGGGAUUAGCUAGUAGGUGGGGUAAAGGCUCACCUAGGCGACGAUCCCUAGCUGGUCUGAGAGGAUGACCGUCCACACGGACACUGAGACAGUGUCCAGAUUCCUACGUGAUGCAGCAGUUGGGAAUAUUGCACAAGGGGCGCCAGCUUGAUGCAGCCAUGCGUGCUGGAUGAAGAAGGCCUUCGGGUUGGUAAGUACUGUCAGCGUGGCGGCGUGACCCGCAGAAGACGCACCUGCUAACUCCGUGCCAGCAGCCGCGGUAAUUC